AGGGAAUCUUCCACAAUGGACGCAAGUCUGAUGGAGCAACGCCGCGUGAGUGAAGAAGGUUUCGGACCGUAAAGCUCUGUUGUUGGUGAAGAAGGAUAGAGGUAGUAACUGGCCCUUUAUUUGACGGUAAUCAACCAGAAAGUCACGGCUAACUACGUGCCAGCAGCCGCGGUAAUCGUAGGUGGCAAGCGUUGUCCGGAUUUAUUGGGCGUAAAGCGAGCGCAGGCGGAAGAAUAAGUCUGAUGUGAAAGCCCUCGGCUUAACCGAGGAAUUGCAUCGGAAACUGUUUUCUGAGUGCAGAAGAGGAGAGUAGAACUCCAUGUGUAGCGGUGGAAUGCGUAGAUAUAUGGAAGAAUACCAGUGGCGAAGGCGGCUCUCUGGUCUGCAACUGACGCUGAGGCUCGAAAGCAUGGGUAGCGAACAGGGAUUAGAUACCCUGGUAGUCCAUGCCGUAAACGAUGAGUGC
rnacentral:rRNA from 1 species